GUCUUUGUUCUUUUCUCCACCGUCAAAGCCAAAGCUUAAUACUUGUGUAUCGCCUGAGAAAUAUGACUUCUCCGGGAAAAUCUCCGAGAUCCGACCGGAAAUCACCGACGGUUGUGACCGUGCAGCCGUCUUCUCCCAGAUUCCCUAUCGGCACACCUACUGCUGGAGCACAACGUAAGAUCGGGAUCGCUGUCGAUCUGAGCGACGAGAGUGCGUACGCAGUCCAGUGGGCUGUUCAGAACUAUCUCCGAUCAGGUGACGCCGUCGUUCUCCUCCACGUUCAACCCACAAGUGUACUUUACGGCGCCGAUUGGGGUGCCAUUGACCUGUCGCCGCAGUGGGAUCCGGACAACGAGGAGUCUCAGAAGAAGCUUGAGGACGAUUUCGACAUUUUCACGAACAAGAAAGCGAGUGAUGUUGCUCAGCCCUUGGUUGAGGCGGAUAUUCCGUUUAAAAUCCACAUCGUCAAGGAUCACGAUAUGAAGGAGAGGCUCUGCUUGGAGGUCGAGAGGUUAGGGCUAAGCACUUUGAUUAUGGGUAGCAGAGGAUUCGGUGCUACGAAACGGAGCAGCAAAGGGAGGUUAGGGAGUGUCAGUGAUUACUCAGUUCACCACUGUGCUUGUCCCGUGGUUGUUGUUAGAUUUCCUGACGACAAAGAUGUUCAAGAUGUAAAAUCUGGCGAAUUUGGUCCCGGAAAUCUGGUAGAAGGUGAUAAACUUCACACAGUGCCUGAGCUGGCUGAGGAAGAGGGAGACAAGGAUGAGUACCAUGAUGCUCCGGAUAAGCAGCAGCAUCAAGGUUGACUUUGAAUUCUUAAGGUUUUGUAUAAGGAACUUUGUUAGCAGUCAUCUUUCGCAGCUAGUAUGCUUGGAUGCUAGGGAGAUUCAAUUCGAUGCUGUGAUGAUUGAGGAGACUUCCCUCACGAAACAUAGAAGGAAAAGAAAGCGUUCCUGUCCCCUUGGUUUGUGUUCUUGAGCGUGCUUCAUAGUCUGGUGUUUGCGGUUUUUGGUUUGGGGUAUCCUAGAUCUUCGUUUACGUUGUAAGUAUGGUCUUGUUUUUGGGUGUUGCUUUAAAACCUUCUGAAAUUGAGAUGAAUGGAUUUGAUGUAUUUGUUAUACUUGGUUCUCUUUGAAAAAGCAGUGAAAUAAAUUUUAAUGGUCA